rnacentral:lncRNA from 1 species
CUUGUUCUUGCUUCCUUUACAGAACCUGACCCUGCAAAGGGCACAAGGGCAGUCCUUGCAAACAGCCCGCCUCCCAAUUCGUGAGUAUAUGGUAAAAUCCAUGAACACGAAGAACUACUACUCGGAGACGCUGGCAAUUAAUCAAGGUGAGGGGCCGAGCCCGUGUCCUGCCCACGUCCUGCCUGUUGCCCAGGUGGCUGAGGCUAUUACGUCCUGAAAAGUCAUCAGUAAUGGAAGCACGAUACUGAGUAGCUGGGGAAACUCAUAUAACAAAUGCCUGUUAUCACAGGCCUUGUGCCUACCGCUGCCGUGGUAAAGUCUCAUGUUUUUUCCAUAUUGGCCUUUCCCUAGCCAGGGGGAAGAGGAUAACACAUUAUCCUCUCUCAGAUAAGCUACUUCACGCCUUGUUCACGAGACUUAAAGGUAGCACAAGUUCCACACUACCUCCCUCUGGCAUCUCCUGAUGUUUGGCAGCCAGGGGAGGAUGUAUUAUAGCUUGCCUUUGUAACAGCGUGAGAGCAAGGUACCUCUUUUUGUUCCCAACAGUCUUCGAUGUCUUAUCGACUUACUACAGAACCCAAAGUUGGCCAGAUGCUUUGAAAGCUGGAGUUUCUUCUGGAAAAGGCUACGUGCUUCCGGACGGAGAGAAAUCAGUGAAAAAUACCUCAGCGUGACAAUGCACAAGAAAACUCUUUUAUUUCCUGAAAGUUAAGGAGCUGUGCAAGCAAGAGUAGCAAACUGCAGAUUUCAAGCAGAGGCACCAGUGUGAAUGUGUGCAGAGAAAACAGCUCUGCCUAAAUUUACUUACGUACGGACCUCGGCAAGAGUGACAGAUUCUGCCUCAGCGGUACAGUGCUGGAAAUGACUUUACGCCCUGAACAGAAAACAGAAGCCAGCUGAGCCCUGAGAUCAACAAAGAGUCGGUAGGAUUUCUUUUUUUUUUUCUUCUUUUCAACAGGAUUAAAUAGGAAGGAUUGUAGAGCACGCCAGUUAAUAACAGUCCUUCCCGUGGAAAAGGACAGCACUGUUCUAACUGAGCACAGGAUGGGAAGUGAUCCAAAAUUAAUAGACAAACGGUGCCCAGAUGCACCAGAACAUGAUUUUUCUUCCUACUUGUACUGAGGACUGGGUGUCUUGGUGUGCUGCCGAAGCCUGUAGUGAAUCCUGUGCAUGCUGGUCACAAUCUAUCUAAAAUAAAGUAUUCAAAUUUCUGUUGCCUCCUUACAGUAACUGAUGUCUUGUGUCAGUACGUGAUAACGGACACUAUGGCCUGAGCAGAGAACGCUUCUGAUGCAUGUAAGAUAAUGCUACUUCAGCCACUGUCAGUUAAAAAACCCUGCAAACACACAGAAAAGCCAAACCUGCUAUCGGUGACUCUCCAAGAAGGAGUUGGAGGGCUUUGCAGGAUGCAGUUAUCCUCUGUACUCUCCUGGGACGUCGUCUGGCAGCC